rnacentral:rRNA from 1 species
UACGAGGGGUGCAAGCGUUGCUCGGAAUUAUUGGGCGUAAAGAGCUCGUAGGCGGUUUGUCGCGUCUGCUGUGAAAACUCGGGGCUUAACCCCGGGCCUGCAGUGGGUACGGGCAGACUAGAGUGCGGUAGGGGAGACUGGAAUUCCUGGUGUAGCGGUGAAAUGCGCAGAUAUCAGGAGGAACACCGGUGGCGAAGGCGGGUCUCUGGGCCGUAACUGACGCUGAGGAGCGAAAGCAUGGGGAGCGAACAGG